AGGCUCCAGGAUGGUGCUAGUACAUGUCGGAUAUCUUGUUCUUCCAGUUUUUGGAUCUGUGAACAACAGAGGUGCCCCUUUCCCAAGGUCACAGCAGUCACACGUCACAUCUUGCAGGCAACUUCACCUCUCUCCACAAUCCGAGUUCCCUCUGUCUCACUCUGUCCAGUCUCAGCCAGGUCUGGGCAGUCAACUGACUCCAUCCCACCAGCACGCCACGACUGCAGUGCCGGUACACCAGCCUUUGACUCCUUUACCAAGCCCACAGUUCCAGGACGUUCCGACCUUUUUACCUCAGUCGUUACACCAGCAAUAUCUCUUACACCAGCAGCUGCUUGAAGCCCAGCGCCGAAGGCUGUUGCCGUUCCCCAGACGGACACAGGAAAGGGCUCCUCCAUACCCCCACCGUCUCCGAGCAGGUUUUGAUUUCAGCAACCACCUCCAUCCUGGUUCAGCAGUGGGAACACAGCCCAGGUACCUGACUGAAGGCACUGACUGGGAUAUCAGUGUAGAGGCUGGUUUGCCCCAUACUCAGUACCAGGCCCUCCCAGUACAUCGUUUACAUCAUUACCUAACAACAACCAGGAUACAUCAUUUCUCUCGGAGUAUGUCUUCAGCGUCUGUGAUUAUUCCUGAUUUGAGGAAUUACCCUUAUUCACAUCUUCACCUACUGGCUCUGCAAGGGUUAAAUGGGGGUCGGCAGAGCCCCGCCAUUAGGGAAAGUUAUGAGGAACUGUUACAACUAGAGGACAGGCUUGGUACUGUGAACCGUGGAGCCUUGCAGAAUGUGAUUGAGAGGUGCACCUUCCCACACACAUACAAGAAGAGAAUGCAACAGAACCUCAAGGAGCCAAUAGAGGAUGAAGAGGAUACAGACUUUGAUGAGAAGUGUACAAUUUGUUUAUGCAUGCUGGAGGAAGGAGAAGAUGUCAGGAGGCUCCCUUGUAUGCACCUCUUUCACCGAGUCUGUGUUGACCAAUGGCUGGCUACCAGUAAAAAGUGCCCGAUCUGCCGAGUAGACAUUGAAGCACAGCUCUUACCAGAGAGCUGAUUGAGCGAACGAUUGCAACAGAGUUCCACACGAGCAAAAAACACAUUUAUCUCACAAUAUGCCAAUAGGGUGGGGGGUUUAGCCUUGUCACCACGCAUUGCCUUUUAAGUAAUCUAUUUUUAAAGCUGCAAAAUCAGAAUCAAGCAGUGGUGGCCUUGUGUUAAAUGAGGGCGUUAGUCACUUUAGAAUAGGGCAUGUUUGACAUAGCCAUAUGGCCUACUGGAUUGCGGGAGCUGGUUCUCCCAGAGGAUAGUGGGAUUUAUCAUUCAUAUUAGAAUUUUUUUUCUAUAAUCGUUAAUGGGCAAGCAUAUUUUAACUUAAAUUAUUCAUUAACUUUCAAUGCUGGAAAUGAAAUAGCUGCACACUUGUGAGUCUCUUGCUUAUGCUUUGGUACUGUGCAUCAGAGGCAAUCUGGGAAUCAACAUUGUACUUUCUUGCUAUGACAUCCCGAAAUUCUACCUUAAUGAUAUCAUAAACUGAGAUCUCCACUGUUACUCAACUUACUUUGUGAGGACGAAACCUGAAAACAGAUUUCAAUUAUACAAACCUACAAAUUGGAAGAAAUUCUUUUUUUCUCCAGAGCAAUGGAUUCUGUCAUCUCCCAUAUAAAGUAGUUAAUUCUGUCUUUGCUAACACUGUUAGAAGGUGUUUGUUAGGAAAUAGAUUUCCUUUAUAAGAGCAAGCAUGAAUAAAAUGGUGUGUGGAAUAAGAUUUGCUGAAUCCUGGAUCUAUAGAUAGAACAUCCACGACAGCAUUUCGACAGCAAAAUGUAACAAAACUUGUAGGAUUCAAGGAUAUUUUUUGUUUUACUUUGAGGAUGUGCAGAGGAGUGGGUGCAAGGCCCUCAGCAGAAUCUUUUAUCAGGCGAUUAAGUUGUUUUCUGGUAGAGUCAGUGAUACAUUCUUCUGAGGGGUCAUCACCUGAUUUCAUGAUUUAAAAUUUUGUUUGUUUACUCUGCAAUGGGAUGCCGUGGGAUGUUUUAUAGUGUUAAAGGUGCGACACAAAUUCAGAUUUUUGGUGCUGCUUAAAUGCCUUUUCUUGUUCAUUGACAAGUGUAACAAGAGUUGAUGGCCUGGUGAUACUAUCACUAGACCAUUAAUCCAGAGACCCUGGUAAUCUCUGAGGAUUUAGGCUUGAUUCCUGCCAUAGCAAAUGGUGGAAUUUGAAUUCAAUAAAUAUCUGGAAUUAAGAGGCUAAUGAUAACCAUAAAACCAUUGCCAAUUGUGGAAAAAUUGGUCUGGUUCACUAAUGUCCUUUAGAGGAGGAAUUUGCCAUUCUUACCUGGUCUGGCCAAAUAUGGCUGUAGACCCACAGCAAUGCGGUUGACUCCUGUUUGCCUUCUGUCUAAUAAAGGAUGGGUAAUAAAUAUUGGCCUGGCCAGCAGCACCCACAUUCAGUGAAUGAAUGAAAAGAACUUCCCUCUGGUGUUAGUGAUGUAGAACUUCACAAAAUGAAAGCCAGGAAAAGGAGCUUUGCAUGACCCAAUCCCUAAAUUGUAAAACAGGGCAAUGCAGCAUCCGGUAACAGAACUAGUUUUAGUAAAGAGACAGUAGGAACUGCCGAUGGAGGAGAAUCUGAGAUAACAAGGAGUAGAGCUGGAUGAACACAGCAGGCCAAGCAGCAUCAGAGGGGCAGGAAAGCUGAAAUUUUGGGUCUGGACCCUUUUUUCCUGAAGAAGGGUCCCUACCCGAAACGUCAUCUUUCCUCCUUUGCAAACAACUUUCCACAACUCAAUAAAUACUCUGCUCAUUUAACACCUAUAGUCUAGUCCAUUGUUUCAAACAAAAUGUACUAAUCGUUGUGCUUGUGCAGUCAAGAUUGUGUGUUUUCUGCUUGAAAGUAUAAUAGUGGAGCAGAGUCUGUACCUCUAUAGUGAAGGCCCUUGAUUAUCCACUGUUAAGUGCCCAGGUUUUCUGCUGCGGCUCCAGAAAAUUAUGUUCUAGAAUUCGAUCUCAAUUUCUGAGCAAAUUGAAAAUCUGUGAUUUCAAUGAAAUUUUCUGUCCCUCCUAAAUAUGAAUAUUCAUUUCCCAAUCUAUAUCAUCCUGCAGCCACGUGUCUGUAAUGACUAUCAGAUUGUACUUACUUAUUUUGAUUUUUUGUUAUCAAUUCAUGUUUUGUUUCAAAGUAUUCAGGUAGAGAGCCUUUAGUUUUGUUCUUUUAUUAUUUUUGUAACCUUUGUUGAUUUAUUCUUAGAAAUCUACUCUCUAUCCCUUCCUGCCAUAUUAUAUUGAUUUUUUCAUAUUUUAAUACCUUGUGCUCUUACCUUAUUUCUACUCUGGCCAUGUUUUCCCAAAUUUGAUCCAUUGCUUCCACUAUUUACUUUAAAGUUCUCCCUACAUCCAUAGUCAUGAGGCUCACUAGGACACUGGCCGCAGCAUGGUUCAGGUGUAGACUGUUCUAAUGGUACAGAUCCCAUUUUUCCUAGUACUAAUGCCAGUGCCUCAUGAACCAAAAUCCGCUUUUCCCACACUGGAUUUUGAGCCAUGCAAUAAUUUCCCUAAUCUCAUUUCCCCUAUGCCAGUUUGCUCAUGGUUCAGGUAAUAAUGGCUUGCUUUUGCUCCUGUGUUUUAUAGUUUUAUAAUCCAGACAUUAUUAUCCUUGAGGUUUUGCUUUUUAAUCUAACAAACUAACAUGAGAACAAAAGGUAUAGGGUAAUAGGCUGUGAGUAAAAGAGAGCAAGAAAAAUCAGUAAAGGAGGGUGAGUGGCAUUAAGUGAAGAAAAGAUGAAACUAUCACAGGUACACAACUAAAUGAUCCUGUCUUAAUAAGUGAACUGUCUCAACUAACAUUGAGCCUCAGGACACAUUCUCCACAUUGAAAAAGAAUGGAAAAUGCUGCAAGAUUGAUCAGCAUUUGCAAAGAGAAACAUUAGGUUUGAUCAGACUCUAGAUUAGAAUUGAAAAUGGAAAUAUUUUAUGUGUUUGUUUCUAAUUCUUAAUAUUUGGAAAUCUAUUAUGUUGAAUGUUGCACUAGUUCUCGUGCUUGAUUUGUAGAGCUGACUGAAAUCACCACUGAUCAUUAUUUCUUGGCUACAACUCAGAAAGUUCCCCAGAGAGAAACUAAUUCAACAGAUUGAUAGAACAACAAAUUUUCUCUUUCUCAUCAGGUCAUGGAGGCUGUCAGGAGAGGGAGAAUUAAUUAGUGGGUAAAGGGUUGGUAAUUGUUUUUAGGGUAUGGUUAAGAAUAGGGAAGAGGUCUAGCAUUUGUGAUCUGUAAACAUGAAAAUCACACUGAUUGCAAGGUCUUGCGGCAAUUUUUGUGCAAAUGCUAGAUGCAAUCCCUUAGGUUUGUUUGAUGUCCAGUAGCGUUAAUAGUGAUAACUUGAGGAGUGUAUCAGAUCAGAUGCUUUACAUAUUUAACAAUCAUAAUUUAUUACUAAUGGCAGCAAUUGCAGGAGUUUAAUUCUAAACAUUUUUGUAAUUAAAAUAUAAUUGAUUUAUUUAGACAUGUCACUAAAAUUAUAAAGAAACUAAUGUUCAUCAGUCUUGCUAAGUUCCAGUUUGCUUUAUCUAAACUAUUUCAAUAUUUGAGUACUGCUUGGAAGUUUUAUUUUGUAUAAACUUAGCAGAGACUCUAAUUGAAUGGGAAGUGUUUUGUCUGGUGAUAUAGGACAGGAAGAUAUUUUACUGAUUCUGGUUGUUGGUAUUCAAUGCUAUGGUUGACCUGCUCAUGAAAGGAUAUAAAAAAAUUCCCAGGGUCUUUGUUCCUGAUCACUACAUGGUUACCUCCUAUGGGAAAGUGCAUUAGUUGAGACUGGGAUAAACUCACUCAAAUGGUUGAAUAGCUUGUUGGCACUCAGACAUGAAUAAUAUCAGUUGAUGCAGCAUCAUGAUUACAUUGGCUCAGUUGAUAGGACAUCUGCCUUUUCAAGUGGAAAGUUGUACAUUCAGGCCCUACAGUAGCAACAGGUAAUACUUUCAGUAGAGAGCAAUAAUCAAAUAAAAUUCUCUCCUCAAUUAGUAUACAAUGGACACUGUUUGUGUACCAUAAGGUUCAUCGAAAAAUGUACUGAGCUUCCUGACGAUGAGGCUGAUAUGGUGGAAAGGAGUGGAGCUGUAUCUCAAGAAUAUAAAUAAGGAGUGAGUUUUCGUUUCCAAAAAAAUCACCAAGUAUACGAGAUGUUGAGUCAUUGAUGCACUGUUUGUGGAAGAUGUAAGUUCUUUACUGUUUGAGUGGAAUGUAUGUUUUACUGAGUUUGCACUUGAUCCCUCUUCGACUGUGCUGGGCAUUGACUGCAACACAAACAGUCAGGAUGAAAAUUUCUUCUCUUCCUCUCUCUUUCUCAGCCCACUACUGCAAAGAUCUCACACAGCUUGAGUUUGGGAGCAUCUCAAGCUAGAAAACAUAUGUAUGUGUCAAAAGCAGCCACAAUGUAAUAACAUUUGCUACAAAAUGGGCAGUCUCAUUCAGGAGAUGGCUAAGGAUGGCUGGUGAGGGAAUGGGAAUGUAGUGUGAUAGCAUGUGAAGCUGAACUUAUGGGCAAGGUGCAGAACGGAGGUAGAAAUGCAGUAAAGUUCGUGCCACUAUCAGUUUCCCAUUACAAUCCUGACCCCAAGCUAUUUUAAAAGAUGCCUGAAUAUCUCUUUGUUGAUGCAAGCAGCCCAAGUUGGUCCUACAUGUGGGCUCAAGGCAGAGGAUUAGUACGAUGGAUCAGGAGUGGAAAUUCAUCACCUUCUCAAAAAAGAAUCUACAAUGACCACUGGGCUACAGUUGCUACACUCUCUGGAGGGUUGUCUCUCUAGGAUCAUGACCAAGCAGCUGUGGCAUUGUACAAAUGAGAAUAACCUUAAUCCCGUCUUUGUCAAUUGUUGUCUGUGAUCUCACAUCAGCAGAUUGGCUGUGAUGUCAGUGAUCUCAGAAUAUGGAAGGCUUCAGUUUUGCCCUCCAGUACUCCAGUGCAGUACUGAGAGAGUGCAGUUCAGUCAGAGGAGCUGCUUUACGAAUGAAACAAUAAACCAAAAUCCUCUCUAUCCUCUAAAGAUUCUACAGCACAUUUUCAAAGAAAAACUGAAAGUUACUUCCAGUAUCAUGGCCAUAAAUAAUCCCUCAAUCAACAUCACAAAAACGGAAUAACAAAUCAUUAUCAUGUCAUUUGUGGAUGCUUGCUUUGCACAAAUGUGGUGAGCAAAUUUCCUAUAUUAGAACAGGUACUCCAAAUCAUAUUGACUGUAAAUUGCUUUGAGUGACAAGUGGUCGUGGAAGAUGCAAUAUUAUGCAAGCUCUUUGUUCAUUUUUAGCACACUUUUUGAGAUUUCAUUUGUAAUUGCCUGUUCUAGGGUACGUUCUUCAUCUGGUGUGAAUUGUCAAUGUUUAUUGUACUGGUAAAAGCAAAUUACUGCGGGUGCUGAAAUCUGAAGCAAUCACAGGUGACACUAGAGAAACUUAGGGGUCCUUGCAGCAUCUGCAAAGAGAGAAACAAUGUUUCAAGUUCAGUUUGGCUUUUCAAUUCUGAUGAAGAGUCAUUCUGGACGUGAAAUGUUAACUCUUUUUCCACAGAUGCUGCCAGACUUCCUGAGUUUCUCCAGCAUUCUCUGUGUUUGUUUCAUUGUAUUGCUUACAUUCUUGUUCUGAGUUAGGGGAAAUUCCUUUUGGAGACAUAAGUACAUAAUCCAAGCUGCCAGUUCAGUUCGUUACAGAUCAAUGGCUCAUCAAAUAGAUUUCAUGGCUCAUCAAAUAGACGUGAUGAGCCAUGAAGUUGAAACUUCAUCUACCUUAUUGAGUAAUACAGCCCAAUGGCACUAUUCCCGGAAGAGAUGUUGAGCUCUGUCAGUGUCCUGGCCAAAUGAAUUGCCCCAAUAUCACUAACAAAAUAGUAAAGAAAUUGUCAACAUUGUUGAAUGGGGGAGUUCCCAAAUAUAAAUCCAAGUUGUUCUUUUACUUUUUGCUGCAAUGCUAAUCCCCACUGGUUUUAUAAACAACUUUCUUAUUCUUUACUGAAUCAUAUUUGCCUUGUCAUGUCUGGACCUGGAUUCAAACCCAGUGAAAGGACAAUCCUUGGUGAAAUGCAUGUGGGGCAAUCUCAAAUCGAUUCCAAUUUGGAGGUGUGCCCUUAAAAACAAACUGCCCUAACAGCACUAUGUUUAUAAUCUCACUAACAAGGGUAAUAGGAUAAAUUGCGAGAGUUUGGGAAAAUGGCACAGUGCUGCAACAAAGGCUUUCUCUCUGAGGUUGGGAUUUAAGGCAGAACAGAUGGAACCUUUUCCAGAAUCAAUGGCAUUUAACUCGGGAGAUGGUGGUGUUAACAGUAAAUGCCUAAAAUGAUAGAUUUGUCUGUCACUUUAAUGAAGACAACAAUCCAUUCCCAAUAAAAUGUUUAAGAGAGGGAAGGACUGGAACAAAUUUGUGUCAGCCAACACUGUAUACAAUGAUGCAGCAUCUUUAAGAAGCACUGAUGCACUGCUGGUUGAUCAUCUCACUGUAUUGCAGUGGCCUUGUCAUGUGAGCACUUUGCACAUGGUGAGAAGCCAAGUGGCAGGAUAAGACAGUGUCGGCUGCUCAAUGCAAUCUGUAGUCAUUUCAUUAAGUGCCUGUCGCUGCCACUCUUAGUUACUGUGCUAGUGUGUCCCUUUUUCCUCCAGUGUUUUGUGUCAGAACACUUGCAACGUAUAGAAUAUUUUAUAGAAAUAAAUAUUUAUUCUGAAUAACAAGACAAUAGUGCAUCAGAAGAUGUGUUAAAAUAGGAAUUAUUGUGUAAAGGU